AGUGAACGCUGGCGGUAGGCCUAACACAUGCAAGUCGAACGGCAGCACAGUAAGAGCUUGCUCUUACGGGUGGCGAGUGGCGGACGGGUGAGGAAUACAUCGGAAUCUACUUUUUCGUGGGGGAUAACGUAGGGAAACUUACGCUAAUACCGCAUACGACCUACGGGUGAAAGCAGGGGAUCUUCGGACCUUGCGCGAUUGAAUGAGCCGAUGUCGGAUUAGCUAGUUGGCGGGGUAAAGGCCCACCAAGGCGACGAUCCGUAGCUGGUCUGAGAGGAUGGACAGCCAAACGGGGAAAGAGACCAGGUCCAGGCUCCUACGGGAGGCAGCAGUGGGGAAUGUUGGACAAAGGGCGCAAGCCUGAUCCAGCCAUACCGAGAGGGUGAAGAAGGCCAUCGGGUUGUAAAGCCCUUUUGUUGGGAAGGAAAAGCAGCAGGUUAAUACCCCGCGGUUCUGACGGUACCCAAAGAAUAAGCACCGGCUAACUUCGUGC
rnacentral:rRNA from 1 species